GAUGAACGCUGGCGGCGUGCCUAAUACAUGCAAGUCGAGCGAAUGGAUUAAGAGCUUGCUCUUAUGAAGUUAGCGGCGGACGGGUGAGUAACACGUGGGUAACCUGCCCAUAAGACUGGGAUAACCCCGGGAAACCGGGGCUAAUGCCGGAUAACAUUUUGAACCGCAUGGGUCGAAAUUGAAAGGCGGCUUCGGCUGUCACUUAUGGAUGGACCCGCGUCGCAUUAGCUAGUUGGUGAGGUAACGGCUCACCAAGGCAACGAUGCGUAGCCGACCUGAGAGGGUGAUCGGCCACACUGGGACUGAGACACGGCCCAGACUCCUACGGGAGGCAGCAGUAGGGAAUCUUCCGCAAUGGACGAAAGUCUGACGGAGCAACGCCGCGUGAGUGAUGAAGGCUUUCGGGUCGUAAAACUCUGUUGUUAGGGAAGAACAAGUGCUAGUUGAAUAAGCUGGCACCUUGACGGUACCUAACCAGAAAGCCACGGCUAACUACGUGCCAGCCGCCGCGGUAA
rnacentral:rRNA from 1 species